rnacentral:rRNA from 1 species
GACGGAGGAUGCAAGUGUUAUCCGGAAUCACUGGGCGUAAAGCGUCUGUAGGUGGCUUUUAAGUCCGCCGUCAAAUCCAGGCUCAACCCUGGACAGGACGGUGGAAACUACCAAGCUGGAGUACGGUAGGGGCAAGAGGAAUUUCCGGUGGAGCGGUGAAAUGCGUAGAGAUCGGAAAGAACACCAACGGCGAAAGCAACUCUGCUGGGCCGACACUGACACUGAGAGACGAAAGCUAGGGGAGCGAAUGGG